rnacentral:rRNA from 1 species
GAUGAACGCUCGCGGCGUGCCUAACACAUGCAAGUCGAGCGAUUCUCUUCGGAGAAGAGCGGCGGACGGGUGAGUAACGCGUGGGUAACCUGCCCUGUACACACGGAUAACAUACCGAAAGGUAUGCUAAUACGAGAUAAUAUACUUUUAUCGCAUGGUAGAAGUAUCAAAGUUUUUGCGGUACAGGAUGGACCCGCGUCUGAUUAGCUAGUUGGUAAGGUAACGGCUUACCAAGGCGACGAUCAGUAGCCGACCUGAGAGGGUGAUCGGCCACAUUGGAACUGAGACACGGUCCAAACUCCUACGGGAGGCAGCAGUGGGGAAUAUUGCACAAUGGGCGAAAGCCUGAUGCAGCAACGCCGCGUGAGCGAUGAAGGCCUUCGGGUCGUAAAGCUCUGUCCUCAAGGAAGAUAAUGACGGUACUUGAGGAGGAAGCCCCGGCUAACUACGUGCCAGCCGCCGCCGUAAAAC